rnacentral:tRNA from 1 species
ACUUAAAUAGUUUAAAUAAAAUUAUGAUUUGUGAUAUCAUAGAUAUAAGAAAGUUAUUUUAGGUU